UACGUAGGGUGCGAGCGUUAAUCGGAAUUACUGGGCGUAAAGUGUGCGCAGGCGGCGUCGCAAGUCGAGUGUGAAAGCCCCGGGCUUAACUUGGGAAUUGCGCUCGAAACUACGAUGCUGGAGUGUGGCAGAGGAAGGUGGAAUUCCACGUGUAGCGGUGAAAUGCGUAGAGAUGUGGAGGAACACCGAUGGCGAAGGCAGCCUUCUGGGCCAACACCGACGCUCAUGCACGAAAGCGUGGGGAGCAAACAGG
rnacentral:rRNA from 1 species